ACGUAGGGUGCAAGCGUUGUUCGGAAUCACUGGGCAUAAAGCGCAUGUAGGCGGCGCGAUCAGUCGGGUGUGAAAUCCCCUGGCUCAACCAGGGAACUGCAUUCGAUACUGUCGUGCUCGAGGGUGGCAGAGGAGAGUGGAACUCGUAGUGGAGCGGUGAAAUGCGUAGAUAUUACGAGGAACACCGGUGGCGAAAGCGACUCUCUGGGCCAUUCCUGACGCUGAGAUGCGAAAGCCAGGGGAGCAAACGGGA
rnacentral:rRNA from 1 species